GAUGAACGCUAGCGGCAGGCCUAAUACAUGCAAGUCGGACGGGAUUGAGAAGCUUGCUUUUCAUGAGAGUGGCGCACGGGUGCGUAACACGUAUGUAACCUACCUUAAUCAGGGGGAUAGCCUCUCGAAAGAGAGAUUAACACCGCAUAAAAUCAAUUUAUGGCAUCAUAGAAUGAUCAAAUAUUUAUAGGAUUAAGAUGGGCAUGCGGAACAUUAGCUAGUUGGUAAGGUAACGGCUUACCAAGGCUACGAUGUUUAGGGGGUCUGAGAGGGUGACCCCCCACACUGGUACGGAGACACGGACCAGACUCCUACGGGAGGCAGCAGUAAGGAAUAUUGGUCAAUGGGCGCAAGCCUGAACCAGCCAUGCCGCGUGCAGGAAGACGGCCCUACGGGUUGUAAACUGCUUUUGUACCGGAAUAAACCUUUGUAUGUAUACGAAGCUGAAUGUACGGUAAGAAUAAGGAUCGGCUAACUCCGUGCCAGCCGCCGCCGUAA
rnacentral:rRNA from 1 species